rnacentral:lncRNA from 1 species
GGGUCUGAAAAACCACUUUUUUUCUAAAAUAAUCUACUUUGCUUGAUGUAUAGAUGAUCAAUCCAUGCCCAAAAUAGCAUCAAAAUUAUGUAUAUCUAGGAAAAUCAAAUCUAUUGCUAGCUCAUGCUCACCCACUCGAACCAAACAACCCCUGUAUACUUGAUUUGCAAUAAAUGGCUCUCCCACUGGCACAGGUACCACCAGACUAUAGUUUAAUAGACUUAAACUCUUAUCGAUAUGCAUGAAAAAUAUAGGUGAUAG